CUUUUGUGUUUUUGAUUUUUGUUUUGCUUUGUUGGAACUCUAUUGUAAGCAGUAUGUAGCUGGGUGUAUCCAAGCUUUCUUUAAUGAAAGUUUAAACAAAUUUUUUAUUUCUCCGAACUCUUUAAUAGAGCAAUUAAUUAGAACUAAUGCCAUUAAUAAACAAAGGAAAUAAACUGUAUCAUUUCAUCCCUUUUAAAAAAUGAAGUCAUACUAUUAUGUUUCCAGAAAUGAAGUAUUAUUGCUCCAGUUUGAAGUGAAUGACUUUAAGAUCAUUGCAGAUGCAGAGCACAUAUCUGUGGCAGUAUCUCACAGUUCAUCAUUGUGCUGUUCACUCUAGGGGGUUUUACAAGAUGCUGCUGUGCUUACUGAAAGAUGGCAAAGGAAAUUUACUUCAUAGGAAUACAUGGAUCAUAACCAAAGAAAGGACUACAUAUACAAGUAUUAUCAGGUUUGGCUGGUAGAAGACCAAAAGGGAGCACUGAGAAUUGAAAGUGCUUAUUUUUCAUAUUCAAGAAAGGUAAAGGCUGUUCUUCAGUCAAAGUCCCAAGUUGUGAACAAGUAACCACUGGUAAUCAAGAUAACUUCCAAUUAAUUCAAAAGCUCUGAAAAUGAAUCAGUAACAUCACACCAGUGACUCUGGUUCCAAAAAUGAGCAAGUCAACAGCAGCCUCACCACAGUCUUAUGAAACUGGGCAAAUUGAUGCCAACGUUACACUUGUGGACAAUAGCUGGGCAAAAGUGCCUUGCUCCAGUGACCACACUGCAGCUCUCCCUCUCCCUGCGCCAUUGAGGACACAGUGAGAAGGCAGCUCUUUUCAAGCCAGAAAGAGAACUCUCACCAGGAACUGAAUUUGUUGGUACCUUGAUCUUGGACAUCUCAGCUUCUAAAACUGUCAAAUGUACCAUCAUCGUAUACCUUAAAAAUGUACUCUUCAAUGGCAAAAUGUUUUCAGAACAAAAAAGCAUGAGUGAAUGAAUAUGUCAUUCUCAGGACAUAGAAAAGUGCCAGAGAAGCGUGAGUGGCAGCUGCCUGAAG
ensembl:lncRNA